CGCAUACAAUAACGCGGUAGCAUCAACGAGGACGACAAAUAGCGGUCUCGCGCGAAUAUCAUUUUUUCCGUUCACGGGAAAACACGAAAUAAUUACCUCGUCGACAACGUGAAAAGGAUCGGACCGCCGCUUAAGUUUUCUUCGUUGAUUUCGCGGUGGGCGCGAGGCGAUAAAUGUCCCGUCCGCGGAGUGCGAACGCGACGCGCUGUUUCGAGACAGCAUACAUCAGGAUCAAGACGUCGGCCGUGGAAAAUUAAUCGCAAUGCGCAUCGAGAAUUAAAGAGAUACGAAACGAGCAAGCACCCUGCAGCUUUCCAGAUAGCGUACGUCAAGAUCUCGCGGAAAAUUAACUUGAUUGCGUACCGGAAGUUAAAGAAUCGCCGAUAAGGGAAUUCCUUCGAUGUUGGAUUAGUUGGAUAGUUUGGAUUGUGUAAUAAAUCAGGAGUAUAAAAAUCAGUAUAAAGUCGUUUCGUCUUUAAAUUCACGGAAUUAUUUCGUCGAUACUGCGUCCUUCUUCUACCAGGCGUCAAUCCCAUAAUUGGAAGAGUAAUGAGCCUUCACUUUCGCGGUAGCGGAGCUUUCGACCUUGGUCUAUAUCGCACAGCGUGCGAGUUGAACAACAAACUGUGAUUUUUAUGGCGCGAACGACUCGCUAACGGAUAAAAAAGUUGCGUUCGACGAUUUCAUUGCAUCGUUACGCCGACCUCAGAGACCUACGUUCGUGUAAUAUUCCGGAUAUUUAAUUUCACAGACCGCAGCUCUCACGCAACAUUGCGACGGACAUUUUAAUUGCCGCGUCUUUGUCUAUCGUUCCAGGGGACGUUUGAAAUAUAUCACCUUUAUUCGGGAUUUCCCUUCUCACGGAAUACCUUGAUCCGAUGAAUGGCGCCAGGACAUUCCACGGCGACGACACGACGCUUUCGGAAGUCCUUCAGGCGCAUCUGACGAAUAUAAUCCAGCUCGUACUGCGGCGAACGGGGGAAGAUGGAUAACACAGCUGCAAAUUGGAGAACUUUAGACGAGUUUUCUAAGUAUGUAAUCGCAAUCUACAGCUACAGUCAAUAUUGCGAGCACUUCAAGAAAUGGUCGUAAAAUCGUAAAAGGAUAUUCCUUCGAAGCUUAUGUGCUCUUAUAAAAAAAUUGUCGUGGCACCUCUCGUCGUCACCGCUAGAAUCGUACAGUAAUGUAACAUAAAACAUCAAAUAUUGUGUAUGUAUUAAUUAUUAAUAAAACGAAAG